GAUGUACUAUCAGCUAAGCAAAAGGGCUACAAUGGAGAAAGAUACAUCUGCCACCCAGUAUGAAGAUUACACGAAAAAAGUCCAAUUCAGAUUUAAAAGUAUCAAUACACUCCUCCACCACCGAAUCCUCCGCAUCUCUCUUCUCGGUCGGUCGGAGCUCUACGCCAGUUAAGAGGAGAAGUGUGAUCGGAGAGUGAAAUCCACCAACCGACGACCGUUCCUUCCACAUCAUCCUCAGGUAGAGAAUCAUAAUGUGUCUUAGCCAGUGAUUUGCUCAGAUACGCGAUGAGUAUUAUUUUUUACAUCAGUACUGCGCCAAUGCUGGCAUCUAUUUCUACUUUGAGAUCAAUUGAAAAAUCGGGUAAUACUACUACCGGAGUGGUGGUUAGAGCCUUUUUCAAAGUUUUAAAUGUCUUCUCUGCAUCUUUAUUCCAUUUAAAUAUACCAUUCUUGAGUUAAACCAUGUAAUGGUUUGUUAAUAGUUCCAAGCUGCAUACGAAUCUUCGAUAAUACCCUGCCCAAGAUAGCCUCUUAAUGCUUUGAUGCCCAAGAAAUGACCUAGAUAUUCUGUUUCUUUAAUCCAAAUAAGCAUUUUGAUCAAUUUAUCACUAGACUGUUUUUUUUAGAAUUUUCAUAACUUACUCAAAAUAUCUUAGAUGUAGUUUCAUAUUAGAACUGUAUAUAAGAAUAUCAUAAAAAAUACUAAUAAUAUCUUUCCUUGGCCAUUCUCAAAAAUAUUUCAAUUAUUAAUACUUAGAAUGUUGCAAUUGAAUUUGAUAAUCCGAAUGUCAUUACUCUGAAUUAAUACACUCAUUCUGAAAAAAGUCUUGUGAAUGUCAUCUUCUCUUACCAUUAUUUGAUGAUAAUACAUACAUAAGUCGCGAUUGAUGAAAAUCAUUGUUUCAUGAAGCUCAUUUAGUAACUCUUCCACUAGUACAGGUAUAGGGUACUUAUCUAGUUAUCCUUGAUUGUGAUUUCAUUUAGUUGUAUGUAGUCUACACAAACAUCCAUGUUCCAUCUUUUUUUCUUAACUAGGAUAACCGGAGAAGCAAAUAAACUUGUACUGUUUCUUAUAAACACAACCCUCUUUAUCUCU